rnacentral:rRNA from 1 species
CAGUAGCCGCGGUAAUACGAGGGGUGCAAGCGUUAUUCGGAUUGAUUGGGUGUAAAGGGUGUGCAGAUGGCUUAUUAAGUCACUUGUUAAAUUCUUCGGCCUAACUGAAGGUCUGCAAGUGAUACUGAUGAGCUAGAGGGUGGAAGAGAGAAGUGGAAUUCUCGGAGUAGCGGUAAAAUGCGUAGAUCUCGAGAGGAACACCAAUGGCGAAGGCAGCUUCUUGGUCCAUUCCUGACGUUCAUACACGAAAGCGUGGGGAGCAAACAGGAUUAGAUACCCGGGUAGUCCCUGUCUCUUAUAC